rnacentral:rRNA from 1 species
GACAGAGGGUGCAAACGUUGCUCGGAAUUACUGGGCGUAAAGCGCACGUAGGCGGCUCUUUAAGUCGGGGGUGAAAUCCUGGAGCUCAACUCCAGAACUGCCUUCGAUACUGAAGAGCUCGAGUCCGGGAGAGGUGAGUGGAACUGCGAGUGUAGAGGUGAAAUUCGUAGAUAUUCGCAAGAACACCAGUGGCGGAGGCGGCUCACUGGCCCGGUACUGACGCUGAGGUGCGAAAGCGUGGGGAGCAAACAGG